rnacentral:pre_miRNA from 1 species
CAAUCAAAUACGAUUAAAUGCAUAGGUGAAAGAUCUUUAUCUUUCACCUAUGCAUUUAAUCGUACUUUUU